UACGGAGGAUGCGAGCGUUAUCCGGAUUCAUUGGGUUUAAAGGGUGCGCAGGCGGCCGGGCAAGUCAGCGGUGAAAUUCAGGGGCCCAACCCCGGAAGUGCCGUUGAUACUGCUUGGCUGGAAUGCGGUCGGGGCAGGCGGAAUGUGGUGUGUAGCGGUGAAAUGCAUAGAUAUGCCACAGAACGCCGAUAGCGAAGGCAGCUCGCCAGGCCUGCAUUGACGCUCGGGCACGAAAGCGUGGGGAUCGAAC
rnacentral:rRNA from 1 species